rnacentral:rRNA from 1 species
UACAGAGGGGGCAAGCGUUGUUCGGAAUUACUGGGCGUAAAGGGCGCGUAGGCGGCCUGCUAAGUCGAACGUGAAAUCCCUGGGCUCAACCCAGGAACUGCGUCCGAUACUGGUUGGCUUGAAUUCGGGAGAGGGAUGUGGAAUUCCAGGUGUAGCGGUGAAAUGCGUAGAUAUCGGGAGGAACACCUGUGGCGAAGGCGGCUUUCUGGGCCUUACCUGACGCUGAGACGCGAAAGCGUGGGGAGCGAACCGG